rnacentral:rRNA from 1 species
GGACUACCGGGGUAUCUAAUCCCGUUCGCUCCCCUGGCUUUCGCGCUUUAGCGUCAGUAUCAGCCCAGUGACCCGCCUUCGCAUCUGGUGUUCCUCCCAAUAUCUACGCAUUUCACCGCUACACUGGGAAUUCCAGUCACCUCUUCUGUACUCUAGUCUGACAGUAUCAAAUGCAGUUCCCAAGUUGAGCCCGGGGCUUUCACAUCUGACUUUUCAAACCGCCUACACGCGCUUUACGCCCAGUAAUUCCGAACAACGCUUGCCCCCUACGUAUUACCGCGGCUGCUGGCAC